rnacentral:rRNA from 1 species
AACGAACGUUAGCGGCGCGCCUAACACAUGCAAGUCGCACGAGAAAGGGCUUCGGCCCCGGUAAAGUGGCGCACGGGUGAGUAACACGUGGGUAAUCUUCCCUCGAGCGGGGGAUAACAUUCCGAAAGGAGUGCUAAUACCGCAUAAGACAACGGACUCGAAAGAGUCUGCGGUCAAAGCUGGCCUCUGUACCCAAGCUAGCACUUGAGGAACAGCCCGCGGCCCAUCAGGCAGUCGGCAGGGUAACGGCCUACCAAACCUAAGACGGGUAGCUGGUCUGAGAGGAUGAUCAGCCACACUGGAACUGAGACACGGACCAGACUCCUACGGGAGGCAGCAGUGGGGAAUCUUGCGCAAUGGACGAAAGUCUGACGCAGCGACGCCGCGUGAGUGAUGAAGGCCUUCGGGUUGUAAAGCUCUGUGGGGAGAGAAGAAUUAGUGGAGGCUAAUUACUCCAUGAUGACGGUAUCUCCUUAGCAAGCACCGGCUAACUCUGUGCCAGCCGCCGCUGUAAAAC